rnacentral:rRNA from 1 species
GAGCAGGGCGCCGUGCUUACACAUGCAGUCGACGAUGAACCGCUUUCGGGCGGGGAUUAGUGGCGAACGGGUGAGUAACACGUGGGCAAUCUGCCCUGCACUCUGGGACAAGCCCUGGAAACGGGGUCUAAUACCGGAUAUGACUGUCCAUCGCAUGGUGGAUGGUGUAAAGCUCCGGCGGUGCAGGAUGAGCCCGCGGCCUAUCAGCUUGUUGGUGAGGUAGUGGCUCACCAAGGCGACGACGGGUAGCCGGCCUGAGAGGGCGACCGGCCACACUGGGACUGAGACACGGCCCAGACUCCUACGGGAGGCAGCAGUGGGGAAUAUUGCACAAUGGGCGAAAGCCUGAUGCAGCGACGCCGCGUGAGGGAUGACGGCCUUCGGGUUGUAAACCUCUUUCAGCAGGGAAGAAGCGAAAGUGACGGUACCUGCAGAAGAAGCGCCGGCUAACUACGUGCCAGCAGCCGCGGUAAUACGUAAGGCGCAAGCGAUGUCCGGAAUUAUUGGGCGUAAAGAGCUCGUAGGCGGCUUGUCACGUCGGUUGUGAAAGCCCGGGGCUUAACCCCGGGUCUGCAGUCGAUACGGGCAGGCUAGAGUUCGGUAGGGGAGAUCGGAAUUCCUGGU